GCCAGCAUGGCAUAGUGGUUUGUGUGUUGGACUAGGACUCUGGAGACCAAGGUUCGAGUCCCACCUUGAGGUUGAG